rnacentral:rRNA from 1 species
UGGGGAAUCUUGCGCAAUGGGCGAAAGCCUGACGCAGCGACGCCGCGUGAGUGAUGAAGGUCUUCGGGUUGUAAAGCUCUGUGGGGAGAGACGAAUAAGCUUUGGCUAAUAUCCAGGGUGAUGACGGUAUCUCCUUAGCAAGCACCGGCUAACUCUGUGCCAGCAGCCGCGGUAAGACAGAGGGUGCAAACGUUGUUCGGAAUUACUGGGCGUAAAGCGCAUGUAGUCGGCCUAGCAUGUCUGUUGUUAAAGCCCUCGGCUCAACCGAGGAAGUGCAUUCAAAACCGCAAUGCUUGAGUAACGGAGAGGGUAGUGGAAUUCUCGGUAUAGAGGUGAAAUUCGUAGAUAUCGAGAGGAACACCGGUGACGAAAGCGACUAAAUGGACGAGGGCUGACGAUGAGAUGAGAAAGCGUGGAGAGAAAACA